GGAAAAGAAAAGAAUGGAUACUUUGAGGCUCUGAACAGCUGCUACCCCUAUGAUAACAGAGCUGAUUUCGCACUGUGUUGGGCUGUCCACAGCCUGUAUGACCCGUUCGCUGGCCCAACAUUUUGGGGGCUGCAGGGAAAUUUUCUGAGGACUUUGCCCCUGGGAACCACUCAACCGAAGCCUGAGCAGGGGCCCCAGGAUAGCCAAAGCCGAAGCAUCUUUUUGCUAUUGAUCAGCAAGUUUCCAAAAUAAGAUGCCCUGCCAGCCUUUGGUCAGACCUCAGAAGUUGUCCCGCUCCAUUCCACACUUGCCUUCCUCAGUCUUCAGAAAUGGACCGGUAGACCAUUUGUGCCCGCAGUGUGGCUCAGUCACGGCCCCCCACCCCUCAAUUCGUGAACACCGUGUGAGCACUCAGUGAGGAGGGGCACUUGGCGAAAAGAGCCAGGAGCAGCUUGGAGCUCAGGGCUCCAGGUGAGGAAACAAGGCAGGUACGAGCACCGUUCACAUCAACACAGAGGGAAUGUCUGGCACACAGAGAAUGCCCAGCAUUUGUAGGGCAAAUGUACGGUGGGUGUGGGGGUGGGGGUGCUCACACAUCGGCUGUCUCUUCUCAGAUGAAGCUUUCAGCAGAACUGGGUUUUGAGGCAUGCAUGGGCAGCUGUUAUCACAUGAUGGGGAUGUGGAGGAGAGGUGGGGUGUCGUUUGAAGAAGAGGGAACAGCAUAUGCGAAGACAUGGAGGCCGGAAGCAGCACAGGGUUGCCAUGGUAUUACAAGCAGGUCUGGAGGAACACGGGGAAAUGGGGUGGGGGAAAAGCAGGGUGCGCGAGCAGGAGAUUGGGCUGAAGAGGGAGGCGGCUUUAUCCCAUGGCAGUGGGGAGCUCAUCAAAGGUUUUCAGCCCGGGAAAGGCAUGAUGAUAUUUUCUUUUUAGGAAGGUCACUCUGGUAGUCUGUGUGGGGCUGAGAAGGACAGAAGGGAGACAGCCAGGGGGCUGGAGGCUGUCCUAAUGGUCCAAGUGAGAGGUGGUUCAGCCUGACUUAGGGCAGCAGUAGGGUUGAGGACAAGAGACUGAUUCUAGACACCUUUGCGCCCUAGAACGGACCAGGCUAGGUGACUCAUCUGUCAAGUAUGUAUUACGCUCCUUCUUCAUGUUUAAGAAAACAUGUACGUGUGUGAGAGAGGAGAGGUACAGAGAUGGAGGAGACCCGUCCCUACCCUUACAGGGGGAGGCCGACACACAUCUGUUCACCGUGUGGACGGAGUGCCUGCUUGGCUCGUGCGCACAGAGGAACACAACAGAAGGUCUGCAGAAGCCAACUGUGCCAGGAGCAGUGCCACGAAGUGCCGUAGACAGAGGGUCAGGCUCUGUGCUAGGCACUAAGGGUGUGGGCAGAUUCAGGCGCAGUUUACAAGGAUCCCUUGCUUGGUAGGCUUGGUGAACUCACAGACCAAGGCGGAGAAGAAAGGAAACGUUCGUCGCCUUUUGAGGACGUGCCAGCACUUAUCGAAGUGUUUUUUGCUUGCCGAAUCCUAUGUUCAGCAAGGAUCCAGGGAUACCUACGACAAGAGCCUGCCCUCAACUCUGGUGGGAAGACAUAGAAAUGAACAGGUAUGGUGAGGUACAGCGAAACCAUCGGAGGGUUUGAUCAGAGGUCUGACACGAGCUAAAUUAAGUUUUAACGUGAACAUCAUCGCUCUGCUUGCUGUGUAGACAAUAAACCUUAGGAGACUAAGGGUGGGAGUCAGAAGACCAGUGAAGGUUGGUGUAGUUGAUCAGAACAGAGACACAACAGUGGCCUGGGCAGUUGCAUCACAGCCAGGGGGUCCCUGGUUUGGCCAAGAGCUCUGUUUUAAUACUCUGGGGAGCAGGGAGACUAGGGUUUUCCACUAACUCUUGGCUCCCCCACUAAUUGGCCUUGUUGGGUCUCUGAACAGGUCUUUUCAUGACCGAUGUGAGAUGCUUGGGUCAGAGUGCCUCUAAGGUUCCUGUCUUCUCUAAGGUUCAAUGUCAUUACCCUGCUCACCUUCUGCCAGUGACUUUGUACAGCUAUGUAAACCCUGUACCAUCGCCUCACGGAGCCACCUCCCACAUCAUUUUCUGCCACUUUCCGAAUCAUUGCUCUGCUCCAGCCACACUGGCUUCCUCUUUGUUCCUCAGAGAGUCAAGCUUGUCCCUACCUCAGCGCCUUUUCACCUGCUGUUCCCUCAACUUAGGAAGUACUUGCCCUCGAUCGUCACAUGGUUGGGUCCUUCUCACCCUGAUCUCAGCAGAAACUUUGUUUGCUCAGAGAGGCCAUUUCUAACUGCCUUGACGUAGGUGGAUCUGCAGUCUGCCAUAUUGUUUCUCCUAGUUUACAUUUGUCUUAGAACUUAUAAUGAACUGAAGUCCUCUUACUCAGUUGUUUAUAUCUUUAUUGUCUAUUUCCCCAUACAACAUCAGUUCCAUGAGAGCAGAGACCUUGUCUGUCUUUGUUCAUUAUGAUUAUCCAGUGCUUCGAACAGUGUGUGGUCAGUACAUAGACAAUAAGUAUUGAAUCAUCGAGUGAAUAAAUGAAUGGAUGAAUGAGCCAUCUUUCAGAUGUUUGUAACAUAUAAUCUAGAGCAGGAUGUUAUCCAUUU